GGUGGCGAAGGCCUAUUUCCGCGGCGAGGGCGCGAGCGCCUUCGACGCCGAGGGCUGGUUCGACACCGGCGACGUCGCCACCA
rnacentral:tRNA from 1 species